CUUUUAAAGGAUAUAAGUAAUCCACUG
rnacentral:tRNA from 1 species